GGGACGCAGAGCGACGCUGGGCACGCUCCGGUGCUCCGGCUCCAAAGGCGACAUGCUCCGACUCCAAAGGAGCAUCUGCAGGGGCCCAGGUUGUAAAGGUGGAGGAGUGUAUGUUGUUGUGGCACCUAGAAGAUGCAUGACACCUCAUGGGAGUAAAGGAGGAUGAGACUGAGAGGGACGAAGAUCUCAAGUGUUGAGUCCUGGGUCUGUCGCUAACAUGUCAGACGUCUGCUAUCAUUUUCUUGAAGUUCUUUCUAGCUCCAAAUAUUCUUUCUACCACAGAUCUCUGUAAAGGGUUAUUUACGGGCAAGGUGUGCUUUUUCCCUGUGCACUUAGCUGCCACAGAAAAGUUACAGAAAUUGAAACACGUGCAAAAGCUGUAAGCUCCCGAUGGAGAGUGGAAAUGCAGAAAUUUGGGCUGAAAAGGAAAAAAAAAAAUACUUGUUAUAUACAAAGGAAUUGGUGGUCUACGUUUAAGAAGUACGUGGAGAAUGUUUAUUUUCAUUCUAUUUUAAUUUCUGGUUUGUUUUGUUUUGUUUUUUUAACAUACACAGGUUGACGAACCAGAAAGUGAGGCGCUCACUAUAAUCGGUCUGUGAUGUUCCUAAUACGCAUACAGGGCAAAUGGCAAGACCAUCAGAAACAAUGUUUCCCUAAGUCCUUGUGGUAUCUAUCGACCUUCUUUUUUCCAGUCCUUAAUGUUUAUUUAACGUGAGUGCCCAGUACUGCUUUGUUUCUCAUUGUCUCCAGAGUGAAUUGCUAACAUUCUUUUCACUGUUGAUGCUUACCUCCCCUUAAACACCCCAGUCAUUGAGCAGAACCCUAAAUACUGUAAAAAUCCAUCCAUAGUCUCUUUUACUAAUACACUCAGUUUCUUGGUAUGGAGUUUUUCCUAGUUUUGCUUGCCUACAUGCAUGUUCCUAAGGUCUCUGUCUGUUGAACAUUAUCAAAUAGUGCAAUAUUCAAAAGUUUCAAGUAUGCAGAAUAGAUUCCUGUCUACUUCUGUCUCUCUGUUGUCAUUUCCAUAACUAUUUGCCCAGAGAUAAUCUACAAGCAAAUACAUAUGUUAAAAAUGCACAGAGGGAGAUGGGUUAGCAGUUAAAAGCACUUGCUACUCUUGCAGAAAAUCUAGGUUCAGUUUCCAGAACCCACACCAUGGCUUUGUAACUUCAAUUCCAGGUGAUCUGAUGCCCUCAACUUCCACAGGCACUGGCUUGGACCACAUAGCAACCACUGCUGCUUGGUGAAGUUCCAGCAUUUCACCAUUGCAGACCACACUUCUACAGCACCUUUUUACUUUCAUAUUUAAUGAUUCUCAAUAUCAAUGCCUUUCCUUUUGGGUAAUUUGUGCAGGCUUUGCUAAAGGAUAAAAAUGUGUACAAUGGUAGCCUCUCUAAACAAAAUAAUUCUUUGGAAAAAAUCUCUGCCACUUUGGAACCAGGAAUUCCAUUGUGCCCUCCUAAUUACAAAGAGAACAGGAAAGUUAGAGAUUUUACCAGAUAUACCUGGUCCCCAGGAUGAAAAGCCUUCAAUUCAGAUCCAGAGCCUAAGGCCAUUAAGGGCAAGAGUUCAGUUAAUAAAUAUAGAGAAAUCAGAAUGGCAGUAUAAUGGGAAAAGAGUAAGACAUCAGGACCUAACCUUUUGGGAACAUUUUGAGGGGAACAGGCCCAUAUAGUAAGACUAAGAAAUGGUAGUAUAGAGUCUGCUCCCCAGAAGAGGAGAAGACCCUAUGCUAGAUGUACUUUGCUUGCCUAGACAGAUUAGCCUUCCUGCUUUACAUCCUGGAAGGCUGACUCUUCAAGGAUUGGAAAAAGUCUGUUCUCUUUUCUUCUGUCUUCCAGUUGGUUUAGCCAAAGGCAUGUAUCAGACCUGCUCUUUCAAUUUCCUUUAACAGUGCCACAGAAAAUUUAAUGAUGGGGUAAUUGGCAAUCACUCCUUCCCAGCUUUCCACGUAUUUUCUGCCAACAUCCCGAACCACGGAGAUCAGGCCAGAAGAGGGCACCAGAUCUCAUUACAGAUGGUUGAGAGCCACCAUGUGGUUGCUGGGAAUUGAACUCAGGACCUCUGGAAGAGCAGCCGCUCUCAACCUCUGAGCCAUCUCUCCAGCCCCAAUAACUAUAUUUAUGAUAUUCAUUAAUUACAUUAAUUGUAUUGAUUUAUACAUUCAUGAUAUUAUGUCCUGAUACUACUGUCCAUUUGUGGGGUUUGUUCCAUCACACAAAACAGAAAUUUUGUACUUAGGAAAUUGCUGCUCUAUAUUCCUUUCUUCUCCAUCUUGAGAUAACAUCUAAUCUUUCUGUCUCUAUGAAUUUGUAUAUUCUAUAUAUUUCAUGUGAUACAAUUCUAUAGUAUUUGUCCUUUUUCCAUCAUGUCUUAAUUUGAGUCUGACCUUUAUAAAAAUUGUUGUGAAAUACACAUCCAAUUUACUGUCACAACCAUUUGAAGUUCGCAUUUAUUAGUCUUAAGUGUAUACACAGGGUUGAACAAGACUCCAUCCAGACCCUUUUAUCUUAGAAAACUGUAAGUACAUCCAUUUAAAAAAAAAACCCACAAAAUCUUCAUCUUCCUGUCUUGCCUACCCAUUGACAGCCACUACCAUUCUGUUCCUGUGAAUUAGAUGGCUCAUGUAAGUAGACUCACAGCAGGUGUCUUUUCAUGAGUAACUUAUCUCACUUAGCACAACAUCCUGAAGUUUCAUUCAUGUUGGAGGACAAGUCAGUUUUCUUUCUUUUAACACUGGGUAAUGCUCCAUUGACUGUGUAUGAUAUGGUUUACCCAUCCCUUCAACUGCCAUUAGACAUUUUGGUUGCUUCCACUUUUGCUACUGCAGGUAAUACUGUUAUGAAGAGGGGCAUAUACACAUCUGUGAGUUCUUGUCUCCACUUCCUUUGGGUCAUACAGCAAUUUUCUCUUCAGUUUUGGUGGAGGUAUUGUGCUGUUUUCUGGGAGAACAGCACCAUUUAACUUUCCCACCAACAGUGUAGUGCUCUAAGUGUUAGGCCUUGUUAUUUUAUGUUUUCCUCUUACUUCUUUGGGUUGGGGUGUGUGUGUGUGUGUGUUGAUUUGAAUAGCAGCCAUGGAAGUGGGUGUGAAGAGCUAGCUCCCUGUGGCCUUGAUCUGUAUUUUCUCUAUGCCCAUUCAUAGAUUUUUCUGGCUACUUGCUUGUUUUUGUUGUAUUUCUUUUGAACUUGUUGGCUUUUUUGUGUAUCUUCUUUGAAGAAAUGUGUCAUCAACCCUCUUUUCUUGCCUUUUUUUAACCUGCAUCUUUCUCUUUUAAAAUCUUAACUGAGAAAGAUAUAAAAUUUGUACAUAUCAGUAAGGUACCGUGAAAUGUUUAUACAUGUAUAUAUUACGUUUAAAUAAGUUUAAUCAUAUUUAUCUCUCAAACAUUUGUGAUUUCUUUGUAGUGAAGAAUUUCCAAAGGCUUUUUCUAGGUGUCCCUGAGCCCCUUGUUCCUGUCUAGGCAUAAAUUAGUGCCCAUUCAUAAACUUUCCCCUUCCCUCCUUCUCUUCUACUUCUUUUUUCUUUGUGUGUGCAUGACAGAUAGAGAAACAGAGACAAGAGUCUUGCAUUGUAGUGUAGCCCAGGCUAGCCUAAUUCUCAUUAUGUAGCUCAAGCUGACAUUGAACUUCGAGCAAUCCUGGUUCAGCCUCUUGAGUAUCGGGAUAAUAGAUGUGAGCCACCAUAGCUGGUUCUCCUCUCUGCUCUUACCAGCCUCCUCUCGUCACCACCAUUCUACUCUCAACUUCUGUGAGCUCAGCCGUUUCAGAUUUCACAUGAGUAAGAUCCUGUGAUUCUCAUCUGACUUGUUUCACUUAACAUAAUGAUUUCCAGUUCUGUUCAUGGAAUUGCAAAUGGCAUAGUGUCAUUCUCUUUAUAGCUAUACAGUAUUACAUUGUGUGUGUAUACCACACGUUAUCCAUUCAUCAAUUGAUGAAUACUUCAGCUGUUUCUAGUUCUUCGUGACUGUGAAUAAUGUCUUUGACAUACUGAUUUAAUUUCCUUUGGGCAAAUACCCAGUAGUGGUAUUGCUGUAUCAUAUCAUAGUUGUAUUUUUUAUUUUUUUUUAAAGAACCCCCAUACUGUUUUCCAUACUGGCUUUACUAUUUUUUCACCAACAGUGGAUAGUGGUUCCCUUUUGCUAUAUUCUUGAUUGACAACACUGUAAAUCUCCUGCCUCAGCCUCCUGAGAGGCUGGGCAUCCAUAUCACUCUGAGGCCUUCUUUGAUCUUUUUGGAAAGAUUUUGCAUUUAUUUAUUUGUGUGUGUGCACACACAUCACACCCACAGUACAUGUAUGAAGGUCAGAGUAUAACUUGCAGGAGUUGGUUCUCUUCUAACAUCUGAGGUCCAGCAAUUAAACUCAGGUCAUCAAGCUUAGCAGCAAGCUCCUUUACCCACUAAGACAUUUUGUCAGGCCCUCUCUGGUCUUCUUGAUAAUAUUGACUAGGAUGAGAUGAUACUUCAUGUGGUUUUGAUUUGCAUUUUCCUGAUAAUUAGUGAUGUUCCAUAUUUUUCAUACAUGUUAGCUAUUUGUAUGUCUUUUUAAAAAUGCCCAUGUAGAGUUACUGCCCAUUUUUUAAAAUGCUAGUAUUCUAUUUUUAAAUAUAAUUUAAAUUUAAAUACAAUUACAUCACUUCCUUUUCUUUCUUCCAGCCUCUCCUAUGUUCCCUUCCUUCAACCCCUACUUUGUCUGUCCCCUCAUUCUCAAAUGGUAGCUUCUUUCUCUUUGAUUAUUAUUGUUACAUGUGUGCCCACACGCAUGUGUGUGCCUGAAUACAUACUCAAAUAUAUGAAUACAACCUGCUGA